rnacentral:rRNA from 1 species
GGAAUUUUCGGCAAUGGGCGAAAGCCUGACCGAGCAACGCCGCGUGAACGAAGAAGGUCUUCGGAUUGUAAAGUUCUGUUAUAGAGGAAGAACGGUGUACGUAGGAAAUGACGUACAAGUGACGGUACUCUGUGAGGAAGCCACGGCUAACUACGUGCCAGCAGCCGCGGUAAUACGUAGGUGGCGAGCGUUAUCCGGAAUCAUUGGGCGUAAAGAGCGCGCAGGUGGUUAAUUAAGUCUGAUGUGAAAGCCCACGGCUUAACCGUGGAGGGUCAUUGGAAACUGGUUGACUUGAGUGCAGAAGAGGGAAGUGGAAUUCCAUGUGUAGCGGUGAAAUGCGUAGAGAUAUGGAGGAACACCAGUGGCGAAGGCGGCUUCCUGGUCUGCAACUGACACUGAGGCGCGAAAGCGUGGGGAGCAAACAG